rnacentral:lncRNA from 1 species
CUGGCACCCAGGCCAUUGAGCUCUGCGGGGCUGUCCGUGAUGCCACCAAUUUCAUUCAUUUCAGAGCUGAUCCAAACCUCACGCCUUUCCCUGCCGUUGCAGUUCUGGAACAUUCUGCAAUUUACCUGCAAAAUGGAACUGCUGCUUAUGGCUGUUAGCAGUUGCAACAUUUCUUUACGCCCGGUGACCCCCAUUUCCACGUGCCCAGCUCCCAGAAGGACUGAAAGAGAGUUUUGGUAGUGCAUCCUCAGCAGCAACCAAGAGCCUUUACAUGCUGAUAAGAAUCACUGGAGACUGCGAUGGACACUGAGGCCAGAUUAUCAUGGUAAUUUGGCUGCCUGCCUUUCUUUUAGUCUUUUUUGCUUAUUUAUGUAAGGUAUUGCAUGACAGUUGUUAAGAAAAUAGACAGUUUCAUGAAUGGUGUCUUUAUUACAAAUGUGACUGUCAGAUUUUGUUUAGUUUCCUUAAAUAUAACGCUUACCCCUGAUACUCACAUGACAAACACCGUGACCUGUACUGCAUAUCUCUUGGGUUAGGAAAAGCAAAAGGAGUCUUUCUUGUGCGUGUUUGGGCUUAUUUGAAUGUUUUCCUCGAGGGGAAAUCCCACAUUCAUAGAGGUUCCAGAUAAUAUUUCAGUUCCCAUAAGAGAGGCAGUGAAGGCACGAACAGUUAUUCCCCGAAGAGUGAGUUGCAGCAGGUUCUUGCUCGAUGACAGUGCUAAUGCUGGGUGCUAAAAUAAAUGCUCCGCAUUACAUUUCA